CGGCGGACGGGUGAGUAACGCGUGGGUAACCUGCCUUAUACAGGGGGAUAACAGUUAGAAAUGACUGCUAAUACCGCAUAAGCGCACGAAGGCGCAUGCCUUUGUGUGAAAAACUCCGGUGGUAUGAGAUGGACCCGCGUUAGAUUAGCCAGUUGGCAGGGUAACGGCCUACCAAAGCGACGAUCUAUAGCCGGCCUGAGAGGGCGACCGGCCACAUUGGGACUGAGACACGGCCCAA
rnacentral:rRNA from 1 species